ACACACACACACACACACACACACACACACACACACUCAACCAGUGUUGGGCACGUUACUUUGAAAAAGUAAUUAGUUAUAGUUACUAGUUACUUCUCCCAAAAAGUAACUGAGUUACUAACUGAGUUACUCCACUAUAAAAGUAACUAGUUACCACUAAAAGUAACUAUUGCAUUACUCGCCUCUUAGCCCCCUUCCCCCCCUUCUCAGAGUGUGUUUCAUAAGCCAGAUGCAUAGAGAGCAGGACAGCAAAGACAAGUACAUUCACAGAGCUUUGCAUUUAUUGCAACUCAACGCAAACUAUAGACAACGGAUGGACAUACAGUUCUCAAAAUAUGUUUUUAAAAAGAAAAGUACACAAUUUAACAGAGGCUCAUUUAAACUGAAUUGAAAAUGUAUAUGGAUUUGUUAAAUCUAACUUAAAGUCCAUAACAUGCAUUCAUUCAUCUUGCAUGUAUGCAAUCAUUUAUCCAACCAGCCAACCCAGUCGUCUCACCAACAGCAAAGACCUGCACAAAGGUAUUUACAUUUUG